ensembl:lncRNA uncharacterized LOC112984818
CAAUCCCAGCAGAUGGAGGAAAAAAAUGUAUAUAAACGAUAUAGGCUCGGAUAUUGGACCAGAGGAGAAAGAUCAGUCCCAGGAGGAUGUUGGUAAAGGAAAGGAGGCGGCUCUCGGUUGCUCUGCCAGUGUAAUGAUGGUGCUCACACAUGUAGGACUCCUCGGGUGCGGGCUCUCCUUUGGUCUCUGGGCUAAACUGGCUACAAGGCAUUCAAGGCCAAGCACCCUCGGCUGUCACGGACCUGCACCCGCCGGGAGAGGCUCACGCUGGCUGUGGACCAGCAGUGUUUGCCCUGAGCGUAGAUUCCCAGAUGCAAGAAGCGAAGGUGCUGAAAGAGGAGGGGGAAGCCCCGGCGCCGGCCGCUUGCGUGGGCACCGCGACCCGGCCUCGGUCCCUGCCCGCCCGGCUCGGCCGUGGCGCACCGCUGCCGCACCGCACCGCACCGCACCGUUCCUGCUCGCCCUCCCCCCAGUCUGGUGUUUACUCUCUGCUUCUCUGCUCUGUCCAGAAGCACCGCCGCCGACCGAGGCGAAGCCGGGGAGGACUGCUGUUUAAAAGGAGCCCGCUGAACGACGUUUGUGUUCCCGAAACCCUUCCUGGCAUCUGUAAAAUCUGAGAGGACAAGCUGGCACAAUGGACAGAGAAAAGUAGGACUUAAGAGAUAGCCCAAGGAGGCCUGAGACUUUUUGUUGGCCACAGGGCCCAUAAAUUAUCUUGGCAGCCCUGUUUUAGUGUUAGACGAGCACAGGACUCACGUCCAUCACAGGGUCUGGAGGAGAGGCAGCAACAAAGGAACUGCUGUGCAGGAGGGAAAUGAGGGGAACCUCACUGAACCCUCACUCAGCAGGUUUUAUGAGAUGUAACACUACUUUAAUGUGCCAUUAUAUCUACAUUUAGAAAAAGGGUCAUAACAUAGAUUGGGCUGCACUGCUAAACAAUUCUGUCACAUAAUUGUUCUCAAACCAACCUCCUGCUGAGGGUCUCGCAGUAACUUCCCUAUCACACUGAUACUGUGCUACGCUUGAAUCCAAAGUAAGCUCACAAAGUAAAGGGGGAAAAGGAAAAAGCGACGUAGCUCUGAGUGGCAAUACUGAUGGUUACAGCAUGCAUGAAUGAAAUGCUUGAAAUAAGCAGGAGCACUUCAGUGUCUCAGACAAUUCCGUAUCUAGGCGUACUGCUUUGGAUCAGGUAAAAAGCCUUAUCCUCUCUCUACAAAUUCCUAAAUUCAAUAGAGUUUGAAUCAUGUCUUAAGACAAAAAUACAAAUUAAUUUUUCCAACUAUUAAAUGGAGAGAAAAACAAAAGCAGAUGAACACCAACCGUGAUGUGGAGUGAGGCUGGAGAGUAGAAACGAGCAUAGUAUUUAACUCAGCUGGAUUCGUUUCUAAGCUUUGUUUUACAGUUAGGAUUUUUGAUUCACAUUGGUCAAAGGUAUAGAUAUUUUCUUACUGUUUCCAUUAAUUACUAGGGCAGAACUCCUAGGAGCUUCAGGCACAGACUGGAAUCCCACCAUCCUGGGCAAUAGAUCAGCACAGGACACAAAAAUGAUGCUUACCAUAAAGUAUUUGUGAUCUAAAUAAGGUCAAUUGUGUGGUAUUUGACUCCAUUCAUAUAGAAAUAUACAUUGUAGAAUAUAUAUAUAUAAAACUUAUAUUCAUUAUAUAGAUCUAUAUGUAUAUAUACAUAGUACUGACUUCAGCAGAUUUGGUGAGUUUAGAAUGCAUAUUUUUAAUCCCCAACUUCUAAAUCGUCUGAAAUUAGAACUGUAAGAUUAUAUUUUAAAAAGGAAAAUUAAAUAUGGUUGGAUUCACUUUUCUGGUUUUUUGAUACCAGAAUCAGGGAAUCUCCUUGCAAGGGGAAGGGCUAACACAUACUCUACUGCGGUCAAGAAUUCUAGUAACACCCCAUUAAUCAGCUGAACUUCAAGAAACUCCCUUAAUAUCCUUGAGGAAAGGAGCCACUACAGUCCUUCAGUACCACAGACUGAGGCUCUCCUGUGUUCUGCAGAACUUACCUUCCUCUGUUUGAAAAUGGAAGUUUCUGUCCUCUGGUUUGGAGCUAGCCUCCACGCAGAGCUAAUCAGUGCGUCGCUGUAUCGUUUGCUCUGCAGCCCAACUGAAACAGUGCAACACCAAGAGAUGUGUGAACUUUUCCACUUAUUGUAAUGAAGUGUUAGUUACAAAACAGACUUUUGGUGAUUUAAAUUGCCUUGUGUGCAUCAGACUGUGAAAGAGGUUUUACAAUAAAUCAUGAAUAAGUUAGAAAUACUUUAUUUUU